rnacentral:rRNA from 1 species
UGCAGUCGACGAUGAAGGGAAGCUUGCUUUCUGGAUUAGUGGCGAACGGGUGAGUAACACGUGAGUAACCUGCCCUUGACUCUGGGAUAAGCACUGGAAACGGUGUCUAAUACCGGAUACGAACUUCCACCGCAUGGUGAGGGGUUGGAAAGAAUUUUGGUCAAGGAUGGACUCGCGGCCUAUCAGCUAGUUGGUGAGGUAAUGGCUCACCAAGGCGACGACGGGUAGCCGGCCUGAGAGGGUGACCGGCCACACUGGGACUGAGACACGGCCCAGACUCCUACGGGAGGCAGCAGUGGGGAAUAUUGCACAAUGGGCGCAAGCCUGAUGCAGCAACGCCGCGUGAGGGACGAAGGCCUUCGGGUUGUAAACCUCUUUUAGUAGGGAAGAAGCGUAAAAGUGACGGUACCUGCAGAAAAAGCACCGGCUAACUACGUGCCAGCAGCCGCGGUAAUACGUAGGGUGCAAGCGUUAUCCGGAAUUAUUGGGCGUAAAGAGCUCGUAGGCGGUUUGUCGCGUCUGCUGUGAAAUCUGGGGGCUCAACCCCCAGCCUGCAGUGGGUACGGGCAGACUAGAGUGCGGUAGGGGAGAUUGGAAUUCCUGGUGUAGCGGUGGAAUGCGCAGAUAUCAGGAGGAACACCAAUGGCGAAGGCAGAUCUCUGGGCCGUAACUGACGCUGAGGAGCGAAAGCAUGGGGAGC